rnacentral:lncRNA from 1 species
CCUCUCAAGCCUUCUUGAUUGAUGGAGAACGAGCACAAGCGCUCCACUGCCCCGCCCACUGGCUGUCUGGGCCGAGUUUGGCCUGCAAGUUGGGGCGCUCUAGGGCUCAGACUCUGAGGCUGAGGGGGUGCUUUCCCGUCACGCCCAGGCGCAAGCCGUCGCCCCAAGUCUGACAGUGGCCAGCUUCCCUGCACACCCAGUUCUUGUCCAAUGCAGCCGACACAGGCCCCUUCCGCCCCUCAGCCCUCGAAAGGCCCCCAAGCCGCAAGCACCCCCGGAAAUGCCUCUUGCCCGGGCUCCCCUCGGUGUCGACAACCCACAAGCCAGGAGCCGGUCCUCGAGGACACGCAGACUCUGGGCCCGAACGCUGACGGGGCCUCCAUUGAUCCUGGUGUGCAGACCCCCGCGGGCCGGACCGCCAAGUCCUACCGAGCCUUCCUGGGGCCGGGCCAGGACCGUUCCGGACCUCGCCGCGGGUCGCCUGGGUGUGAGGCUCACGCACGUGGCUCCCCCGUCCCGCGCCAGGACGCCCCUCACUCGCCACCCCCAGGCGUUCCCGCACGUGCGCCACCGACAGCAGCCUCCUCAGACCCCCACGGUCCUGCUUCUGGACCCCACCAGGGCCCCUGCGCCGCACUGAACGCCGCCCCACGGCCCUCGGCCCACCCACCGGCCCCGACCCUCGACCCUCUCACCGCCAGCCCUCAGCACCUCUCCAUAGCCUUAGCACUUUGCAUAUUCAAGGGCCAAGGCAGUGAGUUCAAGUGACAUGGACUGAAACCUCCAGAACUGUGAGCCAGCAUCAACCUUUCCUCCUCUUCAGGUGACGAUCUUGGGUAUUCUGCAAGAGCAACAGAAAGCUGACUAACAUAGUGACAUUCUUCAUCCUAUGAGGGUCAUGCUUUCAUGUCUGUGUGUUUGCCUCAAUGCAACACAAUGCUUUGAUAAAAUUACAUGUUACUUAUGUAAGUUAUACUCCAUAAUGUUGAUGAAUAAUUAAAUGAUUUUAUGAGAUGUUGAUAUAUGUUCCACAAAAAAGAGGCUGAGACUGUGAAAUAACCUGGGGAAAUAACAGGACAGAUAUUAAUUUAUGCAGGCUUUCCCAGAACCUCUGCUAAUGUGGACUAGGGUAAAGUCACUUCUAAUUUUCAUUAAAAAGAGAACAGAAGAUGCCGGAGAUUUAGCUCAGUGUUUUUGCCGCCUGCUGUGCAAGCACAAGGACCCAAGUUCAAGCCCUGGUACCAAAAAAAAAAAACUAUUUAAAAAGAGAACAGGAACUGUUCCAGGUAAACACCUGUUCUGAGUAUCUUGAGGAACAAAUCAAUCCAGGGGCUUCUACACCAUGGAGCUGUCACAGAUCCUGUUGAGAAAGAUUCUCUCUACUUGUGAUAUAAGUAAAAAAAAAAACACAGCGCACAAUAACAAUGACCAACUAAACAUAAAUUGAAAAUUGAAGUCUACAGGUGAACAUAUGGCAUGACUAGGUAUUUUUGACUUGGUAAUUUUGGUCUCUUGAUUGACAGUCAAAACUCCAAAUCCUUUAGCACCCAGUUGUCACGUGCAAUUAGAAAGGACUCCUUGAACCUUCUCUAUGUGAUUUCUCAGCCUGAGAUAACCAGCUUUCCCUCUGAUUCUGAAAUAAAAGCCAGAGAAAUGCCACUGUUCAGGAGUCUCUGAAUUUAAUGAAUUAGUACUAUUUUAACAUGAACAUAUUCUUUGGGAGAAAUCAAUGACAUUUUCCGGAGGUGUCCUCUUGGGAUUUUGCAAAGUGCAAUGGGAAUGGCCCUUGGGAGGUGCUUGGGAGACCACUGGCAGCUAACAGGAAGUAAAGACUGGACAGGAUGACAGAUGGGCUGCACUUGCGCUUGGCCUGCCAGAUGGGGGAGGUGACACUGGAGCCCGGAGUGCCACUGUUACGUCACCUUGGAACUGAGGCAACCUACCAAAGCAGCUUGUCUAAAUUCACACCACUCCAAGUGAAUACAGUCUCUGAGAACCAUCUGGGCAAAGGAUACCUUGAUGUGUGCUCUGCUCAAAAACAGUUUCUGUUCUGUUGUGACCCCACUAAAAGUAUUCAUUAAAACACGCUAGGACAAUCCGCAUGGGUAGAGCUUGGAAACCUCAAACCCAGAAAUAAAAUUAAAAAUGACUAAUGCCUAUGUUUGCUUAUUGUGCCAGAAACGUCAUCCUGGAGUUGGGCAGAAAAUCUUCAUCUGUAGCACCUUGAAAUAUUGUAUGGAAAUAUAAUUAUUUUAAACGUUCCUGCCAUUUAAACUUAUAUAGUCUUUUCAAAUAAAGAGAUUUCUCCAACAGGACCCAG